ensembl:lncRNA
GUCUGCAAACUCUGGUGAGAAGGCUGGGGAAGCAUCUUUCCUCUAGAACAGGAAAGAAAAAGAGCCAAGAGACCUAAAAACUGGAACUGAGGGAGUUCCCGUUGUGGCGCAGUGGAAAGGAACCUGACUAGGAACCAUGAGGUUUUGGGUUCGAUCCCUAGCCUCACUCACUCAGUGGGUUAAGGAAUUGGCGUUGCCAUGAGCUGUGGCGUAGGUCGAAGACACGGCUUGGAUCUGGCCUUGCUGUGGCUCUGGUAUAGGCCAGCAGCUAUAACUCUGAUUAGACCCCUAGCCUGGGAACCUCCAUAUGCUGCACCUGCGGCCCUAAAAAGACAAAAAGACAAAAACAAAAAACAAAAAAAUAAAAAAAACUGGAACUGAGAAGGUGGAAAUUUGAGAGCGUUCAAAUAACUCACUCUGUAAAUAAAAAAUGGCAAAUCUCCUGCUAAAAGGAGGGAGGCCAGGUGUGGGUUUGAGAAUUGGACUAGAAAAACUAUUUCUAACAGUGACUGGGCAGCACACAGCAUGAAGUUGCUAAACUGCUAAAUUUGGGUUACAUAAAUUUGUGAAGUUGCCAAUUCAGCUUUUUUUUUUUUUUUUUUUUUUAAUGAAGAAGGAUAUUGAUAACUCCUCUUAAGUCUGACCAACCAGUUUCUGCUAAAAUUUCUGAGGGCUUUUUCUCAACACAUACAAAUAAAUAAUUAUAAAAUAACUGCACAUCUCCCACCUGCCUGUAUCCUUAGUGAAAACAGACAUGCAAACCGGUGACUUAGGUGAUUAAAAAUUCCAUUACUAAUGGAAAAUUAAAUGAGCUCAGUGAAACUCUCUUACCUGUGUAGUCUCUUGAGUUUCUCUUUCUAUUUCAUGCUAAAUUACAAUCAAGCCUUGGCUACCUAACCUCAGAGAAUGAGUCAUUUUGAGAAGUUGAGUAUUUUUCUAGAAAAUGUUGCUGGCAUAUAGGGUGUUCUGUCACAAUAAGAAAAAUAUUUAUAUUCUUUCACUAGAUAAGUAGUCUAUGUUUACUGUAAUAAAUUUGGAAUGUAUAAAAAAGCAGAAUUAAAAAUAACAAAUUUCCUCCAAGCAAAGACAUAACAUUUUGGUUAAUAGUCUUCUUGUGUUCUAUCAUAGAAUUAUUUAAAACAUAGAAAACUAAUUCUAGUUUUCUCUCAACUAUCUUAACAUACAGUUUAAUGUAGGCUUUGGGUAUUCUAUAGCCUACUGGUGAAAUAAGACAGCUAUCUUAAGUACUUAUUUACUGAAGAAUUUUCCUCUCAUUUAAUGGCUUAAAUAAGUGAAUAUUUGAUGAGAAUAUUUGUAUUGCAUAUGCUGAUGUUGCCCAAAAAGUGGCUUUCUUGACAAAGUCCCCAAAGACAGCCUGGUUUGGGGUUGUUUUGCCUGUUUGUUCUGAAGGUGGCAUGAAGCAUGUUCAAAUUCAUGACCUCUGGGGCAGCAGAACAGAGGGCUGGUCUGCAUAAUUAACCAUGAAUCAAGGGCUUCAGCAGCAUUCUCCCAAAGGUUUUGUCCCUCUCCAGAAAUGAUCUUCUUCUUUGUGGCAAACAGGGCCCUUUGAUGUGUCAGCAGCAUUCAAAGCCCAGGCGGUGACUUCUGCAUCAUUAACACAUUUGUGCUUCCUUUGUCACUUUGGACCCAGGCUUCCAUCUCUUUUACCCGAAGUUUUCCUGUAAAAGAACUCNNNNNNNNNNNNNNNNNNNNNNNNNNNNNNNNNNNNNNUCUUUCCAAAGUGUGUCCUAGUAUGUUUGGGAAAUGACUUAUUCUCAAGGCAAAAAAAAAAAUAAUAAUAAUAAUAAUAAUUUUGCUGACUUGGUUUCAGACUGAGAUUUUUCUCUAAACUGUUCUCAGCAUUUGGUUUGAAUAAAAUACCAGGCAUAAGCAAUAUUUUAAAUUAUAUAGUCCUUGUAACAAUGAAGUGGAAAUUCCUGAAUAUCACAUGCCUGAUAAAUCUUUCUCAUUAAAUCUCAUAUGCAGUAAAAUUUCCUGUCUUGAAUACAUGUUUUCUAUAGGCUGAUCCCAAGGAUCUAAUAUUCGGUAGCAGGGAGAUAGAAAUAAUGUUUGCAGAUACCACUGUAUUUCCUCUGGGUGAGCAGAAUAAUUGCCUAAAAACAAAAUGGUUUUGUUACAUGGAAGUAAAGCCUGUGGUUCUGAAAAGAUCCCUCAUUAUAUAUAAAUAAAAAUGACAGGAGGAGGUUGGGUGUGACGAGAGAGGCUAUUUUUGAUUUUCCAAGCAUUAUUUGUACAGCAUAAGCAACAGGUGAUAUUCUAGAAUGCUUUAGAACCAUGUCAUGUAAAGUUGCAAAUCUUAUACUAUCAGCUUAUGCUUACUCUGUUUUAAUUCAGGUAAACUAGUAUCCGUAUAUAUAGUUACAUGUUAAAUUAGGCCAACUUUAUAUAACUCUAUCAAGAAUUACAGCUUGAGCCUAGGUUUGCUUCAUUCUCAGAUGCAGGCAAGCCAGAAGAGGAGAGUCCAGGACCAGUAAAUCAGGUCAGUAAAUGCACUAUUCUGUCAGGGGCCAAGUUACCACUGAAGAGGUAAGACAAGUGAUGGUUGAGGAUCAUAAAUGUGAUUCAAGGACAGCAGAAAUUACCAAGAAGAAAGGGAAAUGUCUGUCAGAUGUGGCACCAAUCUCUUAGUUUCCCCUUAGUAAUACUCCACUGAGAGUAGUUAGAGAAGCUAGUGGGCCAUUGAGAUGGCAGGGUGCCAGCAGCAUUUGGACCCACAGCUUCUGCAACAUUCAAUGCCAGGGCCUGCAGCUGUGGUGGGUGCAGCAGCCUCAGAGGAUGUGAAGUAGACCUCCCCAGAAGUAUCUAUCCUUUUCAGAGAACACCAGCAGAUUAACAGUCACUUUGGACAUUGGAAGCUGCAGCAAACACCUCAAUAUAAUAAGUUGACACAGGAGCAAAGGGAAUGAAUGGUCCAACCCAUGGAGCAGUCAGGGAAGCUGGUCAGGGAAAAGGCAGGGGAGACACCCCUAAGGGGUCCCCAGGCUAUCUGUGAGGAAUUAAAGGGGUCUGGACUUCCCGUACUGUUGUUAGAAACUAAGGAAAAAUACUACUAAUAAGAUAAAUGUCUGUGGUUGUCUUACAUCUUAGCUGGGUAUGUAGGAAUUUAGGUUAUAUGAAAAUUAUUUAGAAUUAAGCUUUCUUUCUUUCUUUCUUUUUUUCUUUUUCUUUCCUUUUUCUCCUGGUCACCCAUGGCAUAUAGAGUUCCCAGGUCAAGGGUAGGAUCUGACCUAUGCCACAGCUGCGGCAAUGCCAGAUCCUUUAACUCACUUGCCAGGCUGGGGAUUGAACCAUCCUAUUGUGCCACAGCAGGAACUCUAGAAGUAAGUUUUCUUAAGGAGUCACAAAACUUUUCUUUUUUGUUUUUUAGGGCUGCACCUGUGGCAUAUAGAGGUUCCCGGGCUAGGGGUUGAAUCAGAUCUGCAGCUGUUGGCCUACACCACAGCUGUAGCAAUGUGGAAUCAGAGCCACAUCUGUGACCUACGCCAUAGCUCAAGGCAACAUUGGAUCCUUAACCCACUGAGCGAGGCCAGGGAUUGAAUCUGCAUCCUCAUGGAUACUAGUAAGAUUGAUUUCUGCUGAGCCAUGAUGGGAAUUCCAACACAGGAUUAUUCCAACUCCCUCUCUUUCCCNNNNNNNNNNNNNGGGUUUGCUGACUUUACCUAUAAUGUCUUCUCAUGUUGCCUCACCCUAAAAGAAUUAGGACUAUCUAAGGCAGCAUUUAACUGGAAACCCAACUAAGGUUUGUGAGGCUGAACAAAUAAAGUUUUAUUAAAAUUUUUUUUUAAUUUUGAUUUUUCUUUUUUCUUUAAAUUUUGUUCUGAGGUAUUUAUUUUUGAAUAUGCAAAAAUUUUAUUUAUUUAAAUAAUUUUUAUUUUUUCCAUUAUAGUUGGUUUACAGUGCUGAGUAAUCACUUUUCUACUGUACAGCAAAGUGACCCAGUCACACAUGCAUAUAUACAUUCAUUUUCUCACAUUACCCUCCAUUAUUCUCCAUCACAAGUGACUAGAUAUAGUUCCCAGUGCUACACAGCAGGAUCUCAUAGCUAAUCCAUUCUGAAUGCAAUACUUUAUAUCUAUUAACCCCAGAUUCCCAGUCCAUCCCACUCCCACCCCCUUCCCCUUGGUAAUCACAAGUCUGUUCUCCAAGUCCAUGAGUUUCUUUUCUGUGGAAAGGUUAUUUGUGCCAUAUAUUAGAUUCCAGAUGUGUGAUAUCAUAUGGUAUUUGUCUUUCUCUUUCUGACUUCACUUAGUAUGAGAGUCUAUAGUUGUAUCCAUGUUGCUGCAAAUGGCAUUAUUUUGUUCUUUUUUAUGGCUGUGAGGUAUUCCAUUGUGUAUAUAUACCAUAUCUUCUUAAUCAAUUCAUCUUGUCAGUGGACAUUGAGGUUGUUUCCAUGUCUUGGCUAUUAUGAAUGGUGCUGCAAUGAACAUAUGGGUGCAUGUGUCUAUUUCAAGGAAAGUUUUGUCUGGAUAUAUGCCCAUUAUAGUUGAUUUGCCAUAAUCCAUCAAUUUCUACUGUACAGCAAAGGUUUAUUUCUUACUUAACAGUAAAUCUGGAAUUGUCAUUCUUCUGACCUGGUUUCAAGAGCUCAGUGAAGAGAAACACAAUUGUAGAAAUCAAGUCUGUUUUUGAGACAGGAAGAAGGUAGAAAUGAGAAGGUGGGCCAAGGACUCAGCAGGAGGAUUUUAUGUUAUAUCAAGAAACAAAAGCUCCAGAAGGCUUCCAGUUAUGUUUCCUUGGCCAGUACUCUAUUGAAUGCCCUUCUAGUUGCAAAGAAGGCUGGGAAAAUUCAUAAUUAACUUAUCUAUCUUUUAUACUAGAGGGAGUCAAGGGAGCAAUAGAUAAAAAAUGUUCUUAGUCCCCAUAGUGUCAACCCUAAACACCAAAAUACCCUUUAGAAACUCAGAAUUUUUCAGGAAAUUGAAAUUACACAGAAUUUUUUCAUGUCUGGUCAAUAAACAUUGAGUGGGAGACAAGUACAGUUUCUUAUCUUUUCAUUGAAAAUCACAUAUAAAAAGGUUCAUUUGUCUUCAAGUUUGAUUAUGUAUAUGAUAUAAAGUUAUGGUUAACCCAAGGUUUUUUACAAAAAAAAAACUGCAAAAAGUAAUUUUUUUUACAUUUAUUAAUUCUUGAUGUCUAAUAACUCACAUGAAGUAGAAAGAGUACUGGGUUUUUUUUAAUUUAAUUUUUCUGUUGAAGUACAGUUGAGUUACAAUGAUGUGUUAGUUUCUGGUGUAUAGCAAAGUGAUUUGGUUAUCAUAUACAUAUAUCCAUUCUUUUUCAGAUUCUUUUCUCAUAUGGAUUAUUACAAAAUAUUGAGUAGAGAUCCCUGUACUAUAAAAUAGGUCCUUGAUGAUUAUCUGUUUUAUAUAUAGUAGUGUAUAUAUGUUAAUCCCAAACUCCUACUUAUCCCUCUCUCCCCUACAUUUUCCCUUUGGUAACCAUAAUUUGUUUUUGAAGACUGUGAGUCUCUUUCUGUUUUGUAAAUAAGUUCAUUUGUAUCACUAUUUUAGAUUCCACAUAUAAAUGAUGUGAUGUUUGUCUUUGACUUCAUUUAGUUUGAUAAUCUCUAGAUCCAUCUAUGUUGCUGCAAAUGGCAUCAUUUCAUUCUUUUUUAUGGCUAAGUAAUAUUCCAUUGUAUAUUCCAUUGUAUGGUAUACAUACAUCAUAUCUUCUUUCCAUGUCUCUGUCAAUGGACAUCUAGGUUGCUUGGCUAUUGUAAGCAGUGCUUCAGUGAACACUGGGGUGCAUGCAUCUUUUCAAAUUGUGGUUUUCUGUGGAUAGAUGCCCAGGAGUGGGAUUGCUGGAUCAUAUGUUAGUUCUAUUUUUAGUUUUUUAAGAAGUUUCCAUACUGUUCUCCAUAGUGGUUAUACCAGUUUACAUUCUCACCAACAAUGUUGGAAGGUUCUGUUAUUAUUUGUAGACUUUUUGAUGAUGACCAUUCUGACAAUUGUAGUUUUGAUGUUUAUUUCUCUAAUAAUUAGCGAUGUUGAACAUCUUUUCAUUUGCUUUCUGGUCAUCUGUCUGUCUUCUAUGAGAGCACUAGAUUUUUAGUCUCCCAGGCUUACUUUCAAAUUUUGGCUUAAUCACUUUCUAGCUAUACAAGUGAAUGACUUAUUUAAUUUCUGAGAUAGCCAGUGUCCAAGAUGUUUCCUGUUGUUCUUACAUCCUGGCAUCCACAGACUUGAAUAGUCCCCUCUCAGGUAUAUUAGCAUUGGUCUAUGAAGUGAUGGAUGUUACUUCCAAGAUUAAGUUAUUAAAGAAUGUAGCUUUGAGAGUUCCUGCCAUGGCACAGUGGGUUAAGAAUCUGACUAUAUCAGCCUGGGUUUCUGAGCAGUUGUGGGUUCAAUCCCUGGCACUGGGAAGUGGGUUGGGGGAUCUGGCAUUGCCACAGCUGUAGUGCAGGUCACAACUGUGACUUGGAUUCAAUCCCUGGCCCAGGAACUCUAUAUACCUUCUGGUGGCAAAAAAAAAAAAAAAAAAAAAAAAAAAA